UAAAUUGUCAGUAAUUCACAAAGUGCAUUUUUUUUACUUGGGUGUCACCCCCCUAACGGGUGUCACCCGGUGCGGACCGCACCCCCCUUGUGACGCCACUGCUAUUACUAGAUCUAUUCGAUUUAUAUAUAGGCCUACAUAUAGUCUUCGUAACUCCUUCUAGAUCUAUAAAGAAAUGACUUUUGUAAUUUCUUUUACUGAAGAUUUGAGCUAUUCGCGUCUGACACAUAUAUAAUUUUGCUGUGCAGCAACAAAGCGCAUUUAUUAUUUAAAGUGCAGAAUAAACAUUAAAACACAUUUUAAUUAUGUUAAGGUUUAUGUGCUAAUUUAGGGGUAGUGCUUUAUUUUGGGAAUAAAAGGGUUAUAGUAGUCUACAGUGUUUACACUCUACAAUUCUUCAUUCUUUAGUUAAAUAAAAUAAUAAAUAUAAAAAAAAACAAAAAAAAAAAAAACGUAUGCUGACAUUAUGUGCAGGGGAGAUCAUUCUGUUUUUAUUGCAUUGUUAGCAUUAUCAUGAUUAUGUCGGUCUGUAGCCUACCUACGUAAUUAGAUUAGUUCUAGACUAAUUAGAUCUAUUCUAGAUCUAGUAGAAUUUAGAUCUAGUAGAUCUAGACUAUAGUCACUAUAUCUAGACUCUAGAUCUAAAAAGUAUAGAAAGAGAGCGAGAUUUACCCUUUAACUUUCUUAAUGUGUUCUUGAGUUGAGGGGUCCCAGAGGAUGCAUAUUCUAUUAUUGGCCUAACCAAGGUUGUAAAGUCAUGGUGAUCAAACAAGAAGUGGCCUAUGGUAUUGUCCAAGGUUUGAGUGACUUCUGGAAAUGUGAAGAACUGCAAGAUUUUACUGUCACACUUGGUGCAACAAAGUUUGGGUGUCAUAGGUUUCUUCUGGCAGCUUGUUCUGGGUUUUUUAGAGGACUUUAUAGAUCCGGCAUGAAAGAAACUGAAUUAAAGUGUGUGACUGUAGAAGACAUCUCAAGUGAAACUUUUGAGUUGAUCCUGGAGACUCUUUACACUGGUCAUGGUGUUUUGACAAAUGACAAUGUCAUUGACAUCUGGAGAGCUGCACACCAAUUACAAAUACCAUUUCUAAUUAAAGAAUGCGAAGAGUUUGCAAUAGCAACAUUGUCUCUGGACAAUUACAUUGAAUAUUAUAAAAUAGCCAAACUUUUUGAAUCCAAAGAAGUAUUAGAAGUUAUUUGGUCUUUUAUACUCAAAAAUGCAAACUCUUUCUUCCAAACCAACUUAUAUUUUGAGAUGCAAAUUUCAGAUGUCUUGAAACUUAUUAAAAGUCAAGAUCUUGAAACAACUUCAGAAGAUGAUGUUAUGCAUGUGUCACCACCUCAAAGUUGGUGCCAUAGAGUAGAAACCCUAAUUCUGUAUUGUGUAUGUUAAUUCCAUAUUGUGAAUCUUAUUCACAACCCAUGUUGCACUAAGGUGAACACUUUUGACCUUAGGUGAACCAGAGAGUUAAAGGCAGUCAGUCCACAUAGAGAUCUUGUAGCAAGUACUUGUAUUGAGUCACUUAAGAUAUAAGCAGUAGAGUUAGAUGUUUAAAGUAGUUGGUUAUAGAAUAAGUACUAAGUUGUGAUAUUCGUAUAUUACUGUUGGAUUAAUACUGACCAUUCCUGGGUCGAAUUGUAUGGUGUAUUCACUAUGUGGUGUUAUAUUAAACUUAUUGUAUCUGCUACACCCAGCGUCAUUUCAUUAUUCAGUGAUUUGUAACAAGAACCCAAUGUCACCACCACGCCUACAUUGAUAACCACAGCCACAUUCAUAACAUAUAAAACAACCCGGUGACAUUUAUAAAAGAACGGUGACAGCAUGCCUUGUUGAAGUGGGUGGAAUUUAGACCUCGGCAGGAUGAUGAUUCUGAAGAUUCUAUCAAGGAACAAAGCGAUAAAAAUUCAGAUCAGAAAGGCAUCAAAACUGGCUUUACUAGUUCAGACAUUCAACAUGAAAACAAGGUUAUGACAGUUGAUUCGCAUGUUGAUAACAGAAAACAGCAUCUUUCUGUUCUGUUAUUAAAUACAAGAACUUGUUUAUUAAGUCCAAAUUGUUUAGAAAUGUUGAUUAGACAUCCACUGGUAAGAAAAACCAAAAAGAGCACAGACAUUAUUAUUGAUGCUUUAUUGUACCAGCUUCAAGUAAGCAAACGCAAUGGACACUGGCCAGCUGAGGCUAUUUAUCGAAACAAUGGAAACUACGUUAACUCUGCUGUAGCUAUACGUAAAAAUGUACAUGAAACAAUAAUAAAAGUAAAAGCUUUUUCGUUUUCAUCAAAGCAGUGGCUUCAACUGCCUGAGUUGAAAAGCAAAUCAAGCGUGGCAUUUCUUGCUAAUGACAAAACUCUUUAUGCAUUGGGUGAAUCAAUUACAGCUGAUCAAAUUGCAUCGUACGACAGAGCAUACAAAAAACAGAUCUUAAAAUUAACCAACGGCAAUUGGUCAAAAGUAAAUAUUUCUUUCACUUUACCACCUGAACCUUCUGUUGUUGCAGCUGAUUCUUUUAUUUAUAUUCUUUCAUGUACAAAUCAAGAAGUCUGGCAACUAGACCCAGCAACAGAAAGAUCGACUCGAAUGGCUGAUUUACCCGAUACAGCAUCAAUACAUCAUGUGACAAAUUAUGAGCAAUUUAUACUUGUGUUUUAUAUCUUGGCAGAUGUAGAGGACACAACAGCUGUUGAUUGCUUUGAUAUAUUUAAAAACACUUGGGAAAGACUUGAAGAUUUAAAUGGUCCUGCUACAGGCAUGAUAAGUUUCAAAGAUAAAUAUUCAACAUAUCUUAUCCAGACUAAUGGGAAUCUCUGGAUGGUUGAGCCACAAUCGAAUGAUGUGGAAUUCAAAUAUUUGGCCAAACUUUGGAGCUGUGACUGGUCACUUCAUGGAGCGGUCACUUUUAGGGAUGUUCUUUACAUUUAUGGAGUCAAGUCUGAGACUUUAAAAGAAGAUUUCCAAAAACAAACUUCAUUAGAAGGCAUUUUUAGUCAAAUAGUUUACAUGGAGAGUGAGGACACAGCGUCAUCACCAUUUAUACCAUUAACAUUAAGUCGCCAAUGUAUCUGCCAAUGUUAAGUUUUGACAAACAUUUAAUAUGCUCAUUGGUUUGUUUGUUGUUGUUUUUUUUUUGCCAAUUUAUUGGUUUAUUUUCUGGCAGUUAUCAAGUGUAAUAAUUCAAACUAUUUCUAAUUCAUAAUAAAAGUGUUAUAGUAUUGAUAUUUCAAUUGUAUUUCAAAUAUGUGUAUAAACAGAUCAAAUGUUAUAGAGUAUCGAUAUUCUUUUAAAAUAUUUUGCUUAUAGUGUCUAAUGUCCCUAUUCCUUUAUUCAGUUGGUCCGCCAUUUCACAAUAAGGCCAUUAUCGUGUCACAUUGACCAGCUUAAUAUGUGAAAUGGCAGACCUUUUUGAGAAUUGGCCAGCCAAUUUCCUAAUUUGCAUGGAGCAGUGCCAAAGUCGCAGGAAAUAGUCAUGUGCUGAUAUUGGUAUUUUUUUAUGAAUACCUUAAACAUAAUUACAAGAUAAACUAAAAAUGAAAUCUGUCAAAUUACUUACUUGUAGAAAAAGAUCAAUUUGUUUCAUUACUGAUACUUGUUACAAAAAGAUAAACUUUUAUGACAUUUUGAAGUAAAAGCAAAUUUUGCUAUUUAAAAAUAUGCUUUGAUUAGUUGACCCUUGGCAUUGCAGAAAGAAAAAUGAUUUAGAUUGUAAAGUUGAAGAAGUCAAUAGAAUAAAGAAUGACGAAAACAAUAAAGGAAAUGCAAUACUUACGCUGAAGGGACAAAGAUUGUGUUUGAGACAGAACAAAAGUGAUAAGAUGGUACAAGCCUAAUAGUUGUGAAUGUCAAGUGAUGGUACAAGUCUAAUAGUUGUGAAUGUCAAGUGAUAGUACAAACCUAACAGUUGUGAAUGUCAAGUGAUGGUACAAGCCUAAUAGUUGUGAAUGUCAAGGAAUGUUACAAGCCUAAUAGUUGUGAAUGUCAAGUGAUGGUACAAGUCUAAUAGUUGUGAAUGUCAAGUGAUGUUACAAGCCUAAUAGUUGUGAAUGUCAAGUGAUAGUACAAACCUAACAGUUAUGAAUGUCAAGUGAUGUUACAAGCCUAAUAGUUGUGAAUGUCAAGUGAUAGUACAAGCCUAAUAGUUGUGAAUGUCAAGUGAUGUUACAAGCCUAAUAGUUGUGAAUGUCAAGUGAUGUUACAAUUCUAAUAGUUGUGAAUGUCAAGUGAUGGUACAAGCCUGAUAGUUAUGAAUGUCAAGUGAUGGUACAAGUCUAAUAGUUGUGAAUGUCAAGUGAUGGUACAAUUCUAAUAGUUGUGAAUGUCAAGUGAUGUUACAAGCCUAAUAGUUGUGAAUGUCAAGUGAUAGUACAAACCUAAUAGUUGUGAAUGUCAAGUGAUAGUACAAACCUAAUAGUUGUGAAUGUCAAGUGAUGUUACAAGCCUAAUAGUUGUGAAUGUCAAGUGAUAGUACAAGCCUAAUAGUUAUGAAUGUCAAGUGAUGGUACAAGUCUAAUAGUUGUGAAUGUCAAGUGAUGGUACAAUUCUAAUAGUUGUGAAUGUCAAGUGAUGUUACAAGCCUAAUAGUUGUGAAUGUCAAGUGAUAGUACAAGCCUAAUAGUUGUGAAUGUCAAGUGAUGUUACAAGCCUAAUAGUUGUGAAUGUCAAGUGAUGUUACAAUUCUAAUAGUUGUGAAUGUCAAGUGAUGUUACAAGCCUAAUAGUUGUGAAUGUCAAGUGAUGUUACAAUUCUAAUAGUUGUGAAUGUCAAGUGAUGUUACAAUUCUAAUAGUUGUGAAUGUCAAGUGAUGUUACAAUUCUAAUAGUUGUGAAUGUCAAGUGAUGUUACAAGCCUAAUAGUUGUGAAUGUCAAGUGAUGGUACAAGCCUAAUAGUUGUGAAUGUCAAGUGAUGGUACAAGCCUAAUAGUUGUGAAUGUCAUUGACAGUAACUGGCAAAAAUACGUGCAAAGGGAGUAGUUUCUGGAAAAGUAUUUUGGGCUUAGAAGAAAAGUUUAUUAUGGAGAAUGAAUGUGAAACAUUAUGACCUAAAUUUCCUGACUGGCCACGAAGUUAGUCAAUAUUCAAAGCGCCUAUAGAUAAGCCUUUAUAAUACAAUGAAAGGGAGGCGCGGUGGCUUACGAACUAGAGGGGCUCGGGUUCAAAGACUGUGAUUUCUUACAAUAUUGGUGGAAUAACGUUUCACGAUGCUUUUGAUCUUGUGGUAACACAGCCUGGACAGAGGAAACAAAACACAAUUUUUGAUGACAAAAACUAUUUUGAUGACAAAAACUAAUCUGGUAUCUCAAGAAACAAAAGAAAACCUUGAUUGCAGGAGCUGUAAUUGCGAUCUCGUUUUGCGGUACCUGCACAUUACAUGACAUCAAUUAUUACUUUCCGAUACUAUUCAAACAGAGACGACAUUCUCUUUGGAAGAAUCUAUUCUUGCAGUUGGUGAUUUUUACCAGUUGAAGCUUGUUUCUGAUAAGCCCAAAUACGAAGCCGUUUCAGAACCAGGCGUUGCUGUGGCACCCCCAGUGUGACAUUUAUUUGAAUUAAAAACAGUUGCUAGACAAUGAUUUCGAUUUUCAACAGCAUUGCGUCAUCUUGUACAGGGACAGAUGAAAAAAUUCAAUUUUUUCAGGAAAGAGAAUUAAUAGGAUAUGCCGUGCAUCUGUUCUGCACUAAUGUAGAUGUCACACAAUUUAAUAGCAUCAAAAUGAUGAAUAGUAAAGAAGACACUUUUAUUGGCACUACUUUUGACGAGUUUCUAUUGAAGGGCACGCGAGACUAUCCUGCAGCUAUGCUAUAAAAGAAAAAUGGGGUCUUUUGAAUGAGGUCACCUUCAGGUUUGGCAUAAAAUAUCGUGUGGCUAUGAGCGUAGGACAAAGCGGCACUGUUGGAGCUCUAAAACGAGUUGAUUGUUCUACCUCCUAUCGAAAAAAAAAACAGGAGGAAGGACUAAUCCUACGGUAGUGCUCUGGCCAAAAAACUACCAUACAUGUCGAUUGACUGCUCAGACACGUCCCCCCUUUAGCUCUCGGACCUGGGGACACUCGUACAAGAUAUGCGACUGUAUGCAACAUUCUUUUGACGUUCUCUCCACAGUGACGGCAUCGGGAGUCGUAGUUCGGACAGUACCGGGCAAAGUAUGUGCAAUGUUUGCUUGUUCUGACCUCCUCACCUGCCAACACGGAUCGUCGAGAUCUGGGUGACGCUUACGCUGUCAGACACCACGGGCUCUGUCGGAUUCCUCCCAGGACUUUGACCACUUCUCAUAAACGAGUGCUCGGAUACCCGCCUAGUCUCAGUCGAAAUGUGAUGCCUCGACCUUUUAGACCGCGUUCUAGACAACUAUUCAUCCCAGUUGGCCAGUGGAUCACACGAAUUCUAAAUGCCAACGUAAAUCAUUGCAUUGUAAAAAUAAAGUGCAUUCAAGAAAAUACCAUAACAGUGAAGGUAUAAGAUUCAGUUCAUAAUCCAGAUAUCUAUGGCUUAGGGAUUAAUGCGGUCUGGCUUUCCAUCCUUUGUUUAAUAAAAAUCAUUUACGUAGUCACGAACAUAGAGACUUGGAGUUGGCUCAAUUUUAAAGUUGUAGACAUUAUCAAUAUGUGGUGAUCCUUCCCCUUUGAGAGUAAAUGAAACUUCCAUGCGCAUUCGGAUACAUUAAUGGACUGGUUUGAAACUGAAAAAUCUCCUAAUAAAACACACGAAGACAUUCCUGUGCUAUUGAUCCCCUGUGAAGUAGACCCAAUAUUCUGGACUUAUUUCAAAACAGACGACAAGAAUAAACCCGAGCUGUGGCAGAGCUGCCGGCAUUAUUUUUACCUGGAUAUGAUCGCAGGCAACGUAGGCCUACCUUUUGACGUGGAAGAUAUUUCUGUAAGGUGGUUUAUGAGAUUUCAUUUGCCAUGACGUUCUUAAUGAGUUGAACUAACAGCUAUGUAAGGCAUGUUGAAUGGUAUGGAUCACAUUGAAAAAGCUGUUGUAGUUUCAUAGCAUUAGCAUGUAUCUUAUACUAGGUUUAGUCGUUUCAUCAUUUUUUUUCUGUCGCUUGUAGUUUUUUUUUUUUUUUUAAGGUUGCAGCUGCAUUACUGAGUCCAAAACUCAUAACUUCGUAGGUAAAGUGUAUUAUGGAGCAUACAAACAAUUGAUUUUCAUAAUUUGAAGACUUUUUUUUUUUGUAAAUAUGUAAAUAGACAUUUUAAGGUAAGAAAACACUUUGAAGAUCUAAGAUUGACUGUUAUAUAAUACUGUUACGAUCUUCUCAAUCAGGGCCUUCUGUAAACACUGCUAAACACAACACAGCACAUCUAAUGCAAGAACUGGACAACAAGAGCCUCAAGUAACAACGUGGCGGUUUAAUGAAAAAUACAUAAACAACAGCCAAUAAACACAAUUGGCUACAUUAACUUCAAAUGCUUUGCUACACUACAGAACUGCCUAACUAAUCACUACAAGUCUCUCUAGCUCGUACAGCUACAUUCUCGAGGACUCUCAAGGUUGUAAAGCCAUGGUGAUCAAACAAGGAGUGGCCUAUGGUAUUGUCCAAGGUUUGAGUGACUUCUGGAAAUGUGAAGAACUGCAAGAUUUUACCGUCACACUUGGUACAACAAAGUUUGGGUGUCAUAGGUUUCUUCUGGCAGCCUGUUCUUGGUUUUUUAAAGGCCUUUUUAGAUCUGGCAUGAUUGAAACGAAAUUAAAAUGUGUGACUAUAGACAUCUCUUAUGAAACUUUUGAGUUGAUCCUGGAGACUCUGUACACUGGUCAUGAUGUUUUGACAAAUGACAAUGUCAUUGAUAUCUGGAGGGCUGCACACCAAUUACAAAUACCAUUUCUAAUUAAAGAAUGCGAAGAGUUUGCAGUAUCAACAUUGUCUCUGGACAAUUACAUUGAAUAUUAUAAAAUAGCCAAACUUUUUGAAUCCAAAGAAGUGUUAGACAUUGUUUGGCCUUUUAUGCUUAAAAAUGCUAACUCUUUCUUCCAAACAAACUUAUUUUAUGAGUUGCAAGUUCCAGACGUUUUGAGACUGAUUCAAAGUCAAGAUCUUGAAACAACUUCAGAAGAUGAUGUAGUGCACGCCUUGUUGGGGUGGGUGGAAUUUAGACCUCGCCAGCAAGAUGAUUCUAUCAAGGUUCAUAGCGAUGAAAAUUCAGGUCAGAAAAGAAUCAAAACUGACUUUACUAGCUAGGAAACAUCAGACAUUCAACAUGAAAACAAGGACAUGACAGUUGAUUCGCAUGUUGAUAACAGAAAACAGCAUCUUUCUGAUCUGUUGUUAAAUAUAAGAACUUGUUUAUUAAGUCCAAAUUGUUUAGAAAUGUUGAUCAGGCAUCCUCUGUUGAGAAACACCAAACAAAGUACAAACAUUAUUAUUGAUGCUUUAUUGUACCAGCUUCAAGUAAGCAAACGCAAUGGACACUGGCCAGCUGAGGCUAUUUAUCGAAACAAUGGAAACUACGUUAACUCUGCUGUAGCGAUACAUCAAAAUGUAAAUGAAACAAUAAUUACAGUAAAAGCUUUUUCUUUUUCAUCAAAGCAGUGGCUUCAGCUGCCUGAGUUGAAAAGCAAAUCAAGAGUGAAGUUUAUUGUUAAUGACAAAACUCUGUAUGCACUGGGUGAGGCUAUUACAACUGAUCACCUUGUAUUUUACGACAGAGCAUACAAAAAACAGAUCUUAAAAUUAACCAACGGCAAUUGGUCAAAAGUAAAUAUUUCUUUCACUUUACCACCUAAACCUUCUGUUGUUGCAGCUGAUGCUUUCAUUUAUAUUCUUUCAUCCCCAAGUCAAGAAGUCUGGCAACUAGACCCAGCAACAGAAAGAUCGAUUCGAAUGGCUGAUUUACCCGAUACAGCAUCAAUACAUCAUGUGACAAAUUAUGAGCAAUUUAUACUUGUGUUUUAUAUCUUGGCAGAUGUAGAGGACACAACUGCUGUUGAUUGCUUUGAUACAUCUAAAAACACUUGGGAAAGACUUGAAGAUUUAAAUGGUCCUGCUACAGGCAUGAUAAGUUUUAAAGAUAAAGAUUCAACAUAUCUCAUCCAGACCAAUGGGAAUCUGUUGAUGGUUGAGUCACAAGCCAAUGAUGUGGAAUUCAAAUAUUUGGCCAAACUUUGGAGUUGUGACUGGCCACUUCACGGAGCAGUCACUUUUAGGGAUGUUCUCUACAUUUAUGGAGUCAAGUCUGAGACUUCAACAGAAGAUUUCCAGAAACAAACUUCAUUACAAGGCAUUUUUAGUCAAAUAGUUUACAUGGAGAGUGAGGAUACAGCACCAUCAACAUUUAUACCAUUAACUUUAUGUCGCCAAUGUAUUCUCCAAUGUUAAGUUUUGACAUAGAUAUAAUAUGCUGUUUUUUGUUUCAAAAUUUACUUCUAAUUCAUUAUAAAAUGGAUAUAGAUUUUGAUACGUUGUUUUACAAAUAUGUGUAUAAUCAGAUCAAAUGUUAUAGAAUAUCGCUAUUCUUUUCAAAUAUUUUGCUAAUACUUUCUAAUAAUUGAUUUUUAUGUCUCGAUUCCUUUAUUCAGUUGGUCCCCAUUUCGCAAUAAGGCCAUUAUCGCGUCACAUUGACCAGCCAAAUGUGUGAAGUGGCAGGUCUUUUUGAGAUUUGACCAGCCAAUUUCCAAAUUUGCAUGGAGCGAUUGUCCAAAGUCGUUAGGAAAUAGUCAUCAGCACAUGUUGUGUAUUUUCUUUUAUGAAUACCUUAAUCAUAAUUACAAGGUAUACUGAACAAUUUGUCAAAUUAUUUAAUUGUAGAAAAGGGAUCAAUUUGUAUCAUUACUUGUUACAAAAUGAUGAACCUUUUAUGACAUUUUGAAGUAAAUUUUGUUAUUUAAAAAUAUGUUUUGAUUAGUUGGCACUUGGUGUUGCAGAAAGAAAAAUGAUUCAAAGAUUGAUUGUUCUACCUCUGGAACUCCUCAAAGGGUUAGGCUUGAACUCAGCAACGGUUAGACCGAGGAGCAAACACGCCUGAGCUGGCGGGCAUAUCAGGAAUUUCCGAACAGCCUUGGACAUGGUAAGCAUGGCAUUUAAGCCUAUUAAACACAUCGUGGUCAUGGGGCAGCAGUGUCCUCUCGAACCAGCGGAAGUGCUCACUGUUCAUAAACCAAAGUGGCAGGAGGAUGGACAGAAAACUCCUAUAUGUGGCUCAGAGCUUCUGCCUAGUCCACAAUGCUUCGCCGACACGAAAAAUAAUGGAUUUGGAGUGUCUUUGAAAAGAUAGUUAUAUUGUUUGCACACUACCAAAUAAUCCGCGACUAUAAUGAGCUCAUGCAGUGCCAGAGCAGCUGGCAAAAUGUUAUCCUGGAUAUGAUCGCAGGCAAAGUGUUUUCUGUAAGGUUGUGGUUUAUAAGAUUUGAUUAGCCGCCCCGUGCUCAUUGAGUUGGACAGUUAUGAAAGGCAUGUGAUAUAUAGUAGAUAGCCUUGAGAACCGCUGUUGUAGUUUCAUAGCAUUAGAAUGUAUCGUAUUCUAGGUUAAGUCCCUUCAGCAUUUUUUCUAUCGCUUGUAGUUUUUUUUUUAAAUGUCACACUGCAUUACUCAGUCCAAAACUCACCCAACUUCAUAGUAUUAGGCCUAUAUAGCAUAUAAACAAUUGAUUUUUUUUUUGAACUUUCAUGUAAAUAUGUAUUUAGACAUGUAGGUAAAAAAAAUACUUAUAAGUUGAAAAUUUAAGAUUGAACUUUAUAUAAUACUGGUAUGCCAGUUACAUUUAAAUGUUUGAACCCGAAUGUACAUAAUUGUUAGUACCUUACUUUAGCCUCAUGUAUAUUAUUAUUAUGAUUGGUGGAUGUUUUUGCAAGAAGACAGGUAACAGUGUAGUCACUGAUCAGAUUGUUCUUGUGUGUUCUGGCAGUCUUACACAUAGAGUCUAGAUUUAAAAAGUUCAAACACUAACGAAGCAAUGUCUCAGUUUUUUUCUUCUUGUUAUCAUAAUAAAAGUAAGAAUCGCAGCUAGAGGCUUCAAAAUGAGUUGGUCAUUGUGUUGGUCACAUAAAACCCACAUAAAUUGAGAGCCACAGAAACAUGACCUUUACAUCAUCUGCCCUAUUUAUAGCUAAGUCUGAAAGGGGGAAAUUUACAUCCCUCCACCAGGUCGUCCUUCAGGAUGGCAAUAUUCUUUUAUAUAUAUUCGACUAUUUCCUAGAGAGAACGGAAACUUAUAUCUAGGUCAGGUGUAUUGUUUUGUUUAGUGUAUGAUUAUUAAUUAUCCAUACAAAAAAAAAAAGGCGCGUCAAUUUUUGUUUCUCAAUUACUUUUGCCUCUUCUUCUAGCCAGCUGUUUGCUGCUGAGCUGUCAGCUCUUUUGCAGACUGUGCCAAGGAAAAAUAGUGUGCUGUUUUCUUCAGUUGUUCAGCACUGCCGUAUUGGGUGUUGGUUAUGUUGGACUGUAGUGGAAGUAGGGUCUGCCUAAGUUGGAUUAGGGAGGGGCAUUCAAAGAGGAUAUGGUUUACGGCUUCAUAAGGGUGGGCGCAGUGUCUACAAAGGGGGAGUUGUGUGAAAUUCAUUUUAUUGAGAUGGUAAUUUAACAGUGGUAUGUGUCCUGUUGGAAGAUUCUAGAUUGCUCUUUAUGGGGUUUGAACCCUCGACCGUCGAUAAAUCCGAACGACAGUCCAGCGCGCAAACCGCACGACCAGGCAGCCAGGGCAAAGAGUUUUAUAAAGUAGAUAAUCAAUUUUAUAGUUCUAAAAUCACUUUAUAUAUUUCUUUACCAUUUUUCUCAUGAACAUUUAUAUCAAGUAUGCAUCUGGAUGGCUGCCUGGUCGUGCGGUUUGCGCGCUGUCGUUUGGAUUUAUCGAUGGUCGAGGGUUCAAAUCCUGCCCGCUCCCAUCCCCCGUCGUCCUGCGGGAGGUUUGGACUAGGAAGUAAACUAUCUUCAACUCUGAAGGAACAUCCGAAACAUGUAAAACAUUUUACAAACAUUUGACACGCAUUAUAGCUCAUGUCUUUCUCAUACUCUAGUCGUAGAGUCCGUGGGCAUAACAUAAAAAUACGUUACCAUAAAUAGAAAUUAAAAUUGUAUUAUUAAAAGAGACGAAUAAAUCUUAUCAUUUUUAUUAUUAUUAUUAUUAUUAUUAUAGCUUUUAUAUCUAAUAACAGCAAGGCGAGUCGUUUUUUUUUGUUGUUGUUGUUGUUUUGCGGGUGUGGGGGGAGUACAUUUGUAUAUGUACUUUAUAGCAAAAUUAAAGUUCCCCUUUCAGACCUUAUGGUCUAUAGGUUAAAUGAUGUACAAGUUAUCUGUUUCUAUGGCCUACGAUUUACGAGGGUGUCAUGUGGCCAUCAACACGACCAACCGCCUUUACCUUUCCCCAACUAAUGUCAGCUGGGAGGACAAAUAGCCUGAAAUUAAAAAUCCCAGUCUUCACGAUGAUUCGAACCUGGGACUCCCAGUUUACCGCUAAACCACCGCACCCUAUUUUAUAGAAGUUAAAUACUGAUAGUUGAUGCUGAAUUGAUAUCGGAUUUUAAAUAUAUAUGCUCGAAAUUCUUAAUGAGCUGAUAAGAGGAAGAAAUUAUUGUAUUAUCAUGUAGUCCGUAGAUUGUUGCGCUAUCCAUACUGUUUGAGUGGUCUUAUCAAAACUUUUGAACUUGGAUCUGUUUAGGAUUAUAAAGCUUUAUGAAUCUCCACAGUAGCAUCUGCAAGUUUCAUCAAUUUGUCAUUAUCACAGUGGCAGCAUCUGCACAAAAUAGGCUAUGUUGUGAUGCACAAAGUAUGGCUGGGUGGCCGAGUUGAUAGAGCUAAUGUCGUGGGUUCGAUCACCAUACAUACAGCUAAAAAUGUGAAUGUUAAGUAUACAAUUUUAUUUGAACAUUUUUCUUAACUUUUUAUAGCCAGCUUUUUGCUGCUAAACUGUAAGCUCUUUUGCGGACCAUGCCAAAUAAAAAUAGCGUGCAGUUUGUUUUUUUUUUGUAAUCUGCUGUUCCACACUACCAUACUGAGUGUUGUUUAUGGUGGACUGUUGUGGUAAUAGGUUCUGUAUGAGAUUAAUGUACGAUUAACAAUUUUGUAAGCAUGGGGCUGUAUCUACAGUGUAGUGGGCGGGGUUGAUACUGUUUAAGGGAACAUUUACCAGGAAAAAGAAGAGGAGGCAGACUGAAAACGCAAUGGGAAGACAACAAAAACAAAUGACUUAACAACUGCGGGGCCCUAUGCGAAACGGGUUGCGCGGGGCACAGUCUGGAUUGUGAUAAGCAUAAUGUGAAAAUUAAGAUUUGUAUAUCAGAAAAUACGUUCGUCAAUGCAUUCAAUUUUUAUUCAGUGAAAACUGACAAUGCCUUUUUUUUCCGCGCGUACGAUUGGCACCCCAAUCUUUUUUUUUUCAUGACAUUGUUUAUGAGUUUUAAUAAUUUCAGGAGAUUUCCAGAACUUUUUCGUAAAUUUUGCAAUUACGGGAGAUUUCCAAGACGCGCUGGAAAAUCAGGAGGCCGCAGAAAUCCUGUUAUUAUAUCUUCGUUAUAAAUGUUGAAUUCAAUAUUUUACACCUAGAAUUAGCGCGGCCCUAUGAAAGUGCGGGGACCACUUCGGCCGCUCAGGUCUAAGGCCGGCUCUGGAUAGUUGUUUACACUAAUACUAAUCUGCUUGUAUAUUACUCUGACAGUUGUCCUGUUUCGAUAACACUUUGUUUAUAAUUAGUCUAACUUUCAUCCUACAUCCGCUACACUUGUCUGUGAAUAACAAAAAGUCUAGAUAAUAUCGAUGUGUCCCACCAAUACCCAGCAGCUGGUCCAUAAGCUUCUUCCGAUGGAAAUGCUCGUUGAUCCGCAGACCAUUGAGCCUGGAAUAACUGAACAUUUGUUGAUUAAUUGUUCCAUUUCUAAAAGUAGUGAUUCCAAAUUAGCCUUUUUAUAUUCUAUCACAAUUUCACGUACAGCCGACAAUGAGUCGGAGACCAGUUUUGAAGUAGCUUCAGUAAAUAUAUUUACUAAAGAAGUAACUCAAAACAAUACCGAAGUCGAGGGUGCUGUGUCUGUGGGUCAACUUAACAAAAAUGGCGAGUCAUUCCUAAGUCUGCAGUUUAUGUAUCCUGUACAACGUAUGGUUGGUAUAUACAAGUGUGAAGCUCAUGGAAUGAGUCCGUCGGGAAAACCUGCCACCGAAAACAGUUUUAAAAAUGUCAAAAUGCGAAACCUUGAUUUUACUUCAGUAGCUGAACAGCUUAAACUGAUUAAAAUACAAUCAGCUAAAACAAUUUCGGAAAUAAAUGAACGGAUCAUAAAACAAGCUUCUGAAUUUCAAAAAGAAAAAGGUCUGAAAGAUGUGGCGCUGGACGGCUUGAGAAACGAGCUAGUCGUGAAGAAUCAGGAAAUCUUAGACUUAAAACAAGUUUUGGGAGAACUGAAUACAACAACAGUCAACUUCAUUAAAGCUUUGAAUGCUAGACUAGAGAGUUCAAGUCAAUGGUUUUUUAAGGUCUCACCGGUUUAUAAAGGCAGACGUUACUACCUGUCUCAACAAGACCCUGUCGUCAGAUCUGAGGAGGCUAUGGCUACCUGUGUUUUCUAUGGAGGCUAUCUGGCAGAGAUUGAUGAUAUGGAAGAACACGCUUUCGUAGUGACAUUUAUUAAACAAUUCUCCGGUUUCAAUCAUGUACUUCUGGGAGGAACAGAUGAAGGGCAUGAAGGUCUGUGGUUAUAUCGAAAUAGUAAUUCUACAUUGCCGUCGUGGGCUAUUACACAACGACAAGGGACCCUUUACAAUUGUCAAUACUUAUACAAAGGUGACAAUUGGGCUGCCCUUGACUCCCAUUGUUAUCUAAAUUUGUCUCCCUUUCCUGCCAGAUUUCUUUGUGAAAUCCCUAAAACUGUCAUUUAAACACAAGAUUCAAAUAGUUUACUGGAUAAUUGAAAGAAAAAAUGCAUCUUUCAUAUUGAGUUGCAAUUUUAGAUUAAGCCCAAGGAGAAAAACAAUAAUUAAAUGUUCAAAUCUUCUACAUGCAAAUCCCAGUUAAAGGUCAAUUAAAAAGGGAAAAAAAUAUAUUGUGUUCUUGUCUUUGUCUUGUAAAUUAAGGACGUUCCUUCAACAGAGAAGAUAAUUACGUCCUACACGUAGACGUGUGUAAAUCUAGUCAUGUAUGUUAGAGACUUAAAUUCUGUUUAGUCAUUGUUUUUUUUCCUGGCUGAUUGAGGCAACCCAUUGUAGGAUGGCACUGGGUAAGAAGGAGCGCUUGUCUGACUUUGUCCUAGCAUAUGGAAUAAAAAAAAUGUACUUUAUCUUUGUGUCUUUCUCGAGUAUUUCAUUAGCUUAAAUCUGAGAAUUAAAAUUGAAUAAACCCAUUUAUGCCGAA